UCUUCAUUAUGGUAUAGUUCCAUCAAUAUUGUUCAAGCCAAUUCCGAGAAAUAGAAUGGACAAAAAAGUGUGGAAGAAUAAAAAUAAUAAUAACUAGAUUUGUAAUUGCUAGCAAUAACGGAUGGCACCCUUUCCCCAUUGCCAGGUGAGCGGCAGCCAGUUUGAAAAUUCCAAAGUCAAAUAGUGCAUCUACAGAUGUCUAGUAACAUUUUUGCAAAGUUUCAUUAAGUUUGAAGCAUUUUGAAAUUUUGGAUAUUUUUGCUGUUUCCAUGGUAACGGCGGCCAUUUUGAAAAUUCCAAACUCAAAAGUCAAGUCUUCAUAAGCUAGGCAACAUUUGUUAUAAGUUUCAUUAAAUUUAAAGCAUUUUGAAGUUUUUCAUAUUUUUGCUGUUUCCAUGGUAACGGCGGCCAUUUUUAAUAUUCCAAAGUCAAACCCCCACUUCAAUUUUUUCCCUCCAUAAUCAUAUACCAUUUAAUGUCUCUAGAAUAAAUUUAACAUUGAUGUUCUGGAAUGUUCUGUUAAAAUUCAAAGUUUUGACCUUUUUGCAUUGUUUCCAAGGUAACAACAGAUAUUUUGAAAAUUCCAACGCCAAAUUCCACAUCUUCCAAUGUUGCUCAUCGUUACUGUGAAGUUUCAUUAAGUUUUGAGCAUUUUGAUAUUUUUGAAAUUUUUGGUGUAGUUUCCAUGGCAACAUAGUAGUUCCAAUGAGUGUCAAAAUCAUCCAACACCUGUAUAUAGUGGGCACCUACAUUGUAUUAAAAUAUAAUGUUUCUGAGUUAAAGCAUAUCCAAACAGUUCACCAAAACAAAAAACAGGAUUUUUUCACAUUUGUUCCGUUUCCAUGGUAACGGCAGCCAUCUUAAACCAUUCCAUGCUUCGUGCACAACUUGACAUGGGGGUCCUCACUAUAGUAGAGUUCCAUUAACAUUGAUCAAUUGGAUUUCGAGAAAUCACCUGGACAAAAUGUGUUGCAAGAAAAAUAAUAAUAAUAAGAAAAAAAAGAAACGUAGAAUAACAAUACGUCACCCCAACUCCGUUGAGGGUGCCAUAAUAAUAAUAAUAAGAAAAAAAGAAACGAACAAUAACAAUAUGUCACCCCAACUCCGUUGAGGGUGCCAUAAUCACUGUCUAAGUUAGCUUCAGAUUCUUCUGACAGUCUCGUUAGUGAAGGACCUGUUCUAGAUAUGCCACCAAUCUGUAAUUGGAUCAGCAGUAAUGUUCUUGGUCAGCAUGGGGGAGAGUUAUUAAUCCAUUUUGAUAAGUUUGCAGGGAUUUUAACACAGAAAGAUUUUUUCUACCGCCC
rnacentral:lncRNA from 1 species